CUUGCCAAAUGCUAGGUUAACCCCUUCCCGAUCGCAGACGUACGUCCGACAAAAACGGUCCUUAAAGACUGUGGACGUACAGCAUUUCUUAAUACUUCCCUGAUCGCCGCCUUUACAGCACAAACAGUCCCCCCUCUGCAAAUUUCUGAGUCCCCGAUACCUUUCAUGUCUAUCCUUGUGGCUAUCCCCAUAAAAUUCCCUGUUAUUUAAACACCCUAUUAUUUAAAAUAGUAAAUACGUGAUAAAUUAGUGCAUAGUGCAAGUGAAAAUAAAAUUAAAUAAACCUGACGCGCUUUAUGAUGCUCAAACUGCA